rnacentral:lncRNA from 1 species
AGACCGGAAACGGAGGAGAGCGCGGGGGAUGUGUUUGGCAUGGGGACGCACUGUUACAGUUGCGCUCCUGGUUGGCUUUGUGUUUCCGCGGUGUUGGUAGAGUCUCGGUGUUUCUACCUCUUAGCACCCUUUCCUGCCACCCUUUGUCCUGUGGAAGCCCGGAGACAUCAGCGGCUGCAAUUUUGCUACUCGCUGCUCGGCAUGGAACGGUCAGAAAUGAGCCCGUGAGUCCUGAGUUGGUGGCAGCUGCAUCUGCUGCUCUGUUUUGACAAGCAAACAAGCCAGAACUGCUCAGGCAGCUCCGUAGCAUGAGGAAGAGUCAGGGGCACAGAGAGAUGGAGAGAGACCUAGUUAGGAAAAACAUAUUCAAGGGGAAGAGAUGUAAUAGUUUUGACGUGACGACAGUUACUAAAGAAGCACCUGAACAGACACAUCACCUUCACUUUGGGAUGUGGAAUUUGCUAAAUAAGCCACAGAAAAUGAACAUCCCUUCAGAAUGGGUUUGAAGAGCUGAUCCAGUGGAUUAAAGAGGGGAAACUGGGAGUUUCCAAUUAACAAUGAAGCAGGAGCUGACUAAGGCUUUGGAACAGAAACCAGAUGAUGCACAAUAUUAUUGUCAAAGAGCUUAUUGUCACAUUCUUCUUGGGAGUUACUAUGGAUCUGUAAAUAACUGACGAAAAACCCAUCUGUUUCUACGUAGUUGCUGUUGCCGACACAAAGAAGUCUUAUGAACUCAAUCCAAAUAAUUCCACUGCUAUGCUGAGAAAAGGGGGCUGGCGGCAUGGAGUCUUGCUCUGUCACCCAUCCUCGAGUGCAAUGGCACCAUCUUAGUUCACUGCAGCCUUGAAUUCCAGGGCUCGAGCCAUCCUUCUGCCUCUGCCUCCUGAGUAGGUGGGACUACAGGCAUGUGCCACCAUACUGAGCUAAUUUGUUAAACACUUUUUUUGUAGAGACGAGGUCUUGCUACGUUUCCCAGACUGGUCUCUGAACUCCCGGCCUCAAGUGAUCCUACUGCCUUGGCCUCCCAAAGUACUGGCAUAAUAGACAUGAGCCACUGCACCUGGCUCCUAAGUUCUUUUCUUGAAUAAUAUCUUUCUUUUUUUUUAUUUUUUGAGGUGGAGUCUCACCCUGUUGCCCAGGCUGGAGUGCAAUGGCGUGAUCUCGGCUCACUGCAACUUCUACCUCCCGGGUUCAAGUGAUUCUCCUGCCUCAGCCUCCUGAAUAGCUAGGAUUACAGGCGUGCGCUACCACGCCUGGCUAAUUUUUUGUGUCUUUAGUAGAGAUGCGGUUUCACCAUGUUGGCCAGGCUUGUCUCGAACUCUUGACCUCGUGAUCCACCCGCCUUGGCCUCCCAAAGUGUUGGGAUUACAGGCGUGAGCCACCACGCCUGGCCAAGUAAUAUCUUAAUAUCAUGCCAUUGACAUUUAUCCUCUAAUUAUUUCAGAGGUGGCCUUCAGAAGAAGGCCUCUUUGGUAAAAUUGCUAUUGAGGAUAUUUCACUGAAAAACAAAUUUAUCUUUAAAUUUAAAUCCAGGAAAAAUUUAAACUUUCAGGCUUCUAUUUUUAUCAGACAGGGUAAAAAAUUUAUAACUCAGAAUAUUACCCUUUCCCCUCUUUGUGUGAUGGAUUGCUUGGUUUUAGUUACUGAUUAUUUAAAAUAAUAAGUUAUUCAAAUCUAGGAUUUUGAUACAAUAGUUCUUCUCUAGAAUAUAGUGUGUGUGUGAGAGUAUAUUUAAAAUUUUUAUUAAGGCCCAUGGGGCAGCCUUUGAGGAAACCAGACCUUGGGGAUCGCCAGGCAGGAUUAGUGGCAGGAAUUGAGAGAACAGAGCCCCACAGAGCUCCUCGGGGACCGUCCCCCAGUCACAAGAGUAUCUCAAGGAAGUAGUCUUCUCCCACAUCCCCCAAAGAUAACUACCAGAGGGUCAGUUCUCUGAGCCCUUCUCAGUGUAGAAAAGACAAGUGUCAAAGCUUCCCCACUCACCCUGAGUUUGCCUUCUAUGACAAUACGUCGUUUGGCCUCACUGAGGCUGAGCAGAGGAUGCUGGACCUCCCAGGAUAUUUUGGGUCAAAUGAAGAGGAUGAAACCACAAGUACACUUAGCGUGGAGAAGCUGGUGAUCUAGACUGAGAAUCAGCCUGAGCUUAACACAGCUGGGGUCUGCUACUCGCGUUUUGUAGACUUUUGUGUAACUAUUUGUACCGUAGGACAGAAUGUGAGGAGGAAGUAACACACACAGAGGAGGAUGUGUGUGUGUGCAUGUGUUUGAAUUCACAAGGAAGAAAUUAUUUAUCUUGAGCUUUUUCCUUUGUUAUUCAGUUUUUAUUGGUUUAUUACUAAUAAUGAUAAUAAAAUGUAAACAAGAGCAA